GGUUGAUUAAAUAAUCAAGACCGGUUAAGACAAGACUUUUGAAGACCUCGGACGCAAUGCAACUCUGAGUGAAGGACGGUUGAUCGGCUCCCUGGAGAAACCAGUGGAUGACCCGGGAUGCUGGGGACGGCCAUGACAUCCUACGGAAAGCUUCACCCAGGCUCAAAGAGACGGACGGAUAUUUUCAAGACCCAAGGCUUACCUGCACAGCCACAAGUCAUUAUGGGCUCUGGCUUGGUUGGACAACGCGGCGACUCUGGACAGGCGGUGCUAGCA
rnacentral:lncRNA from 1 species